rnacentral:rRNA from 1 species
GAUGAACGCUGGCGGCGUGCCUAAUACAUGCAAGUCGAACGGAGUCCAGCCUUAGAGACCUUCGGGUCAAAGAGGGGAAGACUGAGUGGCGGACGGGUGAGUAACACGUGGGCAACCUGGCUCAUAGAGGGGGAUAACAGAGAGAAAUUUCUGCUAAUACCGCAUAAGCACACACUGCCGCAUGGCAGAGUGUGAAAAGAGAAUCGCUAUGAGAUGGACCCGCGUCUGAUUAGCCAGUUGGCAGGGUAAGAGCCUACCAAAGCGACGAUCAGUAGCCGAUUUGAGAGGAUGAACGGCCACAUUGGGACUGAGACACGGCCCAAACUCCUACGGGAGGCAGCAGUGGGGGGUAUUGCACAAUGGGGGGAACCCUGAUGCAGCGACGCCGCGUGAGUGAAGAAGUAUUUCGGUAUGUAAAGCUCUAUCAGCAGGGAAGAUAAUGACAGUACCUGAAUAAGAAGCCCCGGCUAACUACGUG